UUUCUUCUGCUGACAAUUUUGUUAUGUGUGCACUUAGGAGAAUACUCGUCAAAGGUUUAUCAUCCUAUUUUCGUUGAUCGGAUCGCCACACCCGGCUUUCCUGACUGACUUACCACCAACCCAAUAUCGAUGAAAAAACACGCCUACCCCUGACAAGGACGUGAACGAAGCUCCAAUGAGUCGCUCCUCGCUGGAAUGAGGGCCGGACCGUCA
rnacentral:lncRNA from 1 species